rnacentral:tRNA from 1 species
AGCAAUUUGGCGCAGUGGGAGCGCGCCGGGCUCAUAACCCGGAGGUCCUACGAUCGAAACGUAGAAUUGCUA